rnacentral:rRNA from 1 species
AGCUUGCAAUUUAUAAGCCACCUAGUGGAUGGCUUGGCUCUGGUAGCGAAGAAGGCCGUGGCAAGCUGCGAUAAGCCCGGGGUAGCCGCAAGUCGGGCCCUGAACCCGGGAUAGCCGAAUUGUGCGCCAUGAAUAGUGGCGCAUGCGCACGCGGGGAAUUGAAAUAUCUUAGUACCCGCAGGAGAAGAAAUCAACAGAGAUUCCGUCAGUAACGCGAGUGAAAGCGGAGUAGGGCAAACUGAAUCCCCCUUGCAAAAGGUGCGGAGAUGUGGUGCAGCUUUUAAUGCCGAUAUGCGAACAGAAGGAACUGGAAAGUUCCGCCAUAGAGAGUGACAGCCUCGUAUGUGAAGCAUGUCGGGAUGUGCUGUGUAGGAGUAGUUCGGCCUAAAUACGUCGAACGAAUACGGGAUCAUUAAAUUCCAACCCUAAAUAUUGACUAGAGACCGAUAGCGAACAAGUAGUGCGAACGAAAGCUGAAAAGAUCCCACACGCGUGGGUGUGAAAAGAUCUGAAACUAGGUGGUUACAAGAAGACAAGGCAUGGAAGGGUUAUCCCUCAUGGAAGCGAAAUGCCGAAAGGCUGGAGCGACAUGAGGUACCAGUGUUUUGUCCUUCUUCUUGAAGCAAGAGCCAGGGAGUGUAUUGGAGUGGCAAGAUAAUAUCGAAGUGAAAGCGAGUGCGCGCACGCAAGGAGGCGCAGGGCAUGAAAAUGCCUAAGUCACUUCUCUACGACCCGAAGCUAUUGUGAUCUACGCGCGGCCAGGGCGAAGGGAGCUUGAUGGCUCCUGGAGGCCCGCAACCUGUCAUGGCAUGUCCUGUUGGGUGAGCUGCGGGUAGGGGCGAUAGACCAUUCGAACAUAGCAAUAGCGGGUCCCCUCCGAAGUAUCUUCAGGAUAGCUCCAGACGAGCUUGCAUAUGCGGUAGAGCGACCGAUUAGAGGGCGCGGAGUCGAAAGGCUCUACCCUCCCGUCAAACUCCGAAUGCAUAUGCUGCGUAGACUCUGGGAGUCGGCCGCAUUGGGUAAGCUAGUGCGACGAGACCGUAAAGUCGGUGACUGGGGUUAAGGUCCCUAAAUCGUGAUUAAGUGCAUCGAACGAGGAAGCUCUCGUAGACAGUCGGGAGGUAGGCUCAGAAGCAGCCACCCUUUAAAAAACGCGUAAUAGCGUACCGAUUGAGAGAGUUUUCUCCGAAAAUGGACGGGGCUAAAUCAUGUACCGAGACCUCAGAAUUGAAAUAUAUUGGUAGGAGGGCGUGUUACACGGCUAGAAGUAGGGUCUUGCGAUCCUAUGGACUGUGUAAUAGAGAAAAUCCUGGUGUAAGUAAUAGCAUAUAAUUGUGAGAAUCAAUUACCCCGGAAGCACAAGGUUUUCCUCGCGAUGAUCGUCAGCGGGGAGUUAGCCGGUCCUAAGCGCGCAGCCAAUUACUCGCGCGCAAAAGGGUAUCCAGUUAAUAUUCUGGAGCUUGACACGUAGGCGUGGCAACACAAGGUUGAUUUCUGACGCUUGGGGAUAGGCCUGCAAACAGGCGCAGUUGGCUGUGGAGUCUCAUUAUGAGGAGAAACAGCUCAAUGUGCCGCAACGGCUGAAUUCCUGAGCCCGUGAAAAGGGAAUCGACAACAAUCGUGUCAAUCCGUACCUAGAACCAGUACAGGUGCUGCUGGCUGAAAAGGCCAAGGGGUGUGGGAAGAACCAAGGUUAGGGAAAUCGGCAAGUUCGUGGCGUAAGUUUUCGAAAAGCCAUGUCUGCACUUAGUAAGAGCAGAUAGCAUUAACUAGGGGACGACGACUGUUUAUCAAAAACACAACUCGCCGCAAAGCCGUAAGGCUUAGUACAGCGGGUGACGCCUGCUCACCGCUAGCACGCGAAACUCGGUUUCAACCGAACAAAGCACUAGCAAAGAGCGGGAGUAACUCUGACUCUCUUUAGGUAGCGUAAUACCUCGUCACUUAAUAGGUGACUUGCAUGAAGGGCGUAACGAUUGUCCCACUGUCCCAAUCUUGGAUCCCGUGAACUCACUGCGUGGUGAAUAUGCCACGUCCCUUCAGUGGGAAAUGAAGUCUCCAUGAAGCUUGACUAUAGCCUGUUGUUGCUGCGCCGUGGGCGCUGCACAGCGUAAGUGGGAGCAUCGAUCCGCCGGCUCCGGCCGGCGGGGAGCGAUCCUGUAACACCACUCUACGCUUACUGCGCAACUAACCCCGCAAGGGGAACAGCAGCAGGUGGGUAGUUAGACUGGGCGGUUUCUUUCGAUAAGGAAACGAAAGUGACCAAUGCUCCGCUUAAGCUGGUUGGAAACCAGCUGUUAAGCAUAAAAGCAAAUGCGGGGCUGACUGUGUCCUUAAAAGCGUUGGACGCAGACAAGAAAUUGCGGUUUAGCGAACCUUGGUGCCCCUUUAAUGGGGGCCCACGCUGUCAGAUAAGUUACUCUGGAGGUAACCGGUUCGUGGCUGGUGAGAGUUCACAUCGACCCAGCCGUUUGAUACAUCGAUAUGGGCUUAGGUCAUCCUGGCGGUGCAGGAGCCGCCAAGGGCCGGACUGCUCGUCCGUUAAAGACCUACAUGAGCUGAGUUCAGUACGUCGCAAGACAGUACGGUAAU